rnacentral:rRNA from 1 species
CCACCCUGAACACACCCAUUCUCUUCUGACAUUGGAUGCUAAGCAGGGUAGCCUGGCUAGUACUUGGGUGGAAGUUGCUCAACAAACACUUCUCAAAUGAAAGAGCAAGU